rnacentral:rRNA from 1 species
AUGGAGGGUGGUCGUCUUGUUGUUGCUGCUCCGCUGCUCUAUCUCUAUGGCUGGGGCUGGGACUGGGACUGGGAAGGAAGAAGAGUUGCGAGGGUGAGAAUGGGGAGGAGGGGCUGGAGAGAAGAGAAGAAGGCCAUUGUUAACCCGGUCGUUUUACCGGAAUGUAAUGAGAUGUGGCCUCUAGCUGGAGGAGAUGUGGGUGGGCGCGGGCCGGGGGGUUCCUUGUUCUCUUUCUCAGCACCCCAUGUGCCGCUCCAAGGCCCUGUACCCACCAUCACCAUGAGAGAGAGAGAUGCUUGUCCACUUGUCCAUCUCCUCUCUCUCAUCUCUCUGGAGUCAACAUCAGUUUGUCAUUUUGCAAGUGCCCAUGGCCAUGGGGAAGUGAAGAGUUUGGUCGUUGGGUUAGGUAAAAACGUGUCUCCUUCCAAACCCAGUAGGACUACUCGUCAGUUGGGUUGGGUUGGGUUGGGUGAGGAGGAAGAAGAAGACGAUACUAAAUCUGACAGCGUCUUCUUGCAGCCAUUAGCUGUGCUUUGUCCAAAAAUUAGUGGGGGGCUGCUCCUGCAAAUGAAAUCAUCCAUCUGGCCUGGUGCGUCUUCGGGUCAAGGACGCAUUCAAUGUGAGUGGCAGGGCAGGGCAGGGCCAACUAACAACACCGCAUUCAUGCGUUGCGCUCUAACCAUAUAUGCCAGGAGAUCGGCGCCACAACGUUUUUACACCCUUCCUGUGGCCAGGAGCGGCUGCCGCUAUAAUCCUUUGCACUCGCCUGAGGCGCUGAGCUUCCAGGUAAUACAGUCUUGGGUUACUGGAAUGAGAGUGAGGGCAGCCUGCUUGAUCUCCCUCGCAAGCUGCACCACCUGCAGUGCAAUGACGUCCGGGUCACCUCGCCUCAAGUCCAGGAUCCAUCUGUCGUCGUGCAACGCGUCCUUGACUGAACGCUUCCCUCGAAUCCUGCCGUUCCAGCCCAUUCCGUCGCUGGCUGGCCGGAUCCGGCACCCGCUUCUGCCGCCUGCCCGGACCAGGCACUCCUGCUGCGCCCGAAGCUCUUCUUCUCUAGCCGCCGACCUUGCCCUCCACGCACCUGGCCCGCCUGCCCGCCGGCGCCCCCGCCGCUAUCCGGCCGCUGCUGCCCGCGGCUGCCUGCACCAGGCCGCUCGCCUUCGUGCCCCUGCCUCUGUUCGAGCGGGGAUCGAGCCCCGCCCGCUCUGCCCUUGCUCUAGAUCGAGCCCCGCCCGCUCGUCCCUGCUUCAGAUCGAGCCAGGCCGCCCCGCCCGCUCGUGUUCGGUGAUCUUUGAUGGCACCAACUACGCUGAGUUUGUGGGCUUCAUGCGCAUUCAUAUGCGUGGCCUUCUUUUGUGGGGUGUUCUUUCUGGCGAGGUCCCCUGUCCGCCAUGCCCUGUUGCGCCAGUGGCCCCAAUCCCACCGGUGCUACCGGUCCUUGCUGUUGAUGCUUCUCAGGCUGACCGGGAUGCUGCCAAGGCUCAGGAUGAUGCUGCGGUUGAUGCUUAUGAUCAGCAGCUAUCCGCUUAUUCCGAUGCUCUCUCUGUGUACCGGGAUGAUCUGUCUGCUUACACUCAGUGGUGCAAUGAUAAUGCUCGAGCUGCUGCUGUUCUCACUGCGAGUGUCCUCCCUCAGUUUGCUUCCGAGUUCAUGGGACUUGGCACAGUUGCGGCGAUGUGGUCUUAUCUCUGUCAGCGCUAUCAGCCCUCUGGUGAUGCUCUCUACCUAUCUGUGGUACAUCAGGAGCAUGCACUCCAGCAAGGUGAUUCCUCUGUUGAUGAGUUCUAUUCACAGUGCUCUGCCAUCUGGCGUCAGCUUGACUCUCUUCGGACCGUCGUUUGUGGAACUUGCCGUUGCUGUCAGACUACACGUUCGAGCCUCGCCGUGCUCACCUGCUCGCUCGUGGUCGUGUUCCUAUCUCAGAGGUGCUUGCUGAGCUUCGUGCUGAAGAGACCCGCCUACGCUCUGCUGGGUUACUUGUGGUUCCAUCCGUGUUGGCCGCCCGAGCUCCUAUGCCCCCUGCUCGCCUCACCGCUCCACCACUCCUGCCUACUCCUUCAGGGGGGGUCGUCCUUCUUAUGCUGA